GUGAGUGUAGCUCAGUGGACAGAGCUCCGGGCUGUGGCCCCGGCUGUCGUGGGUUCAAAUCCCUCCACUCACCCCA
rnacentral:tRNA from 1 species